rnacentral:rRNA from 1 species
AGCGAAGUCGCGAGGCGGAGCAAAUCUCAAAAACCGGUACCCAGUUCGGACUGCAGCUGCAACCCGCCUGCACGAAGCCGGAGUUGCUAGUAAUCGCGAAUCAGAAUGUCGCGGUGAAUGCGUUCCCGGGUCUUGUACACACCGCCCGUCACACCAUGGAAGUUGGGGGUGCCCAAAGCCGGCAAGCAAAUAUGCUGUCUAGGGCAAAAACCAAUGACUGGGGUGAAGUCGUAACAAGGUAGC